rnacentral:rRNA from 1 species
GACUCUUGGCAAUGCAUACAUUGACUUACAUGAAUGAAGAACAUAGUAAAAUGUCCUACUUGAUCUGAAUUGCAAAACCUAAUGAACCAUCAAGUCUUUGAAUAGAAAUUGUGCUCAAAAGCAUUAUGUCAAGUUAUUGUCA